UUUGGGGCCUGUAGCUCAGCUGGUUAGAGCACACGCUUGAUAAGCGUGGGGUCACUAGUUCGAAUCUAGUCAGGCCC
rnacentral:tRNA from 1 species